GUUUGUGGUAAUUAAUUUUGUUAAAUUUCCUCUCAGUUUUUCUACCCAAGAUAAGAUUUUUCUUUUCUAUAUUGGUGGUUUUCCACAAUCUCAUCUUACUAUUGUUUUAACUAUGUUUUUUAGCUUUUACUGUAACCCAUAUAAGUUCUUUACUUUUUUAAUUUCUCCAUCAACUCUACUAGAUAUUAACCCUGUGCAAUCAAACCAUGCUUUUAAUCCUGUAAGUUAUAUGUGCAUUUCAGGAUUAUGUGAGGUAUAUACAAUUCUUUCCUGAAAAUGCUAAUGGUGUAUUCAUCUCCUCCUAUCUUGAUUUUAACAUCUAGGGAGUUCAUCUCCACCUCACUCAUUCUUUCCCAUUUUAAGAGUAGACCUGGCUACUAUCCAUUAACAAUCCUUCUUAAAUCAAGUUCUCUGGGUUCUUAUUGGUAACUACUAAGAUAUCAUCAAUGUAUCUUAUGUAUGUUUUUAGGGAAUUGCUCAGACUUGGAAGUCUUUCUCUUUCUUCCUCACUAUUAAUUCUGCAAAUACUCCUACCAUGGGGUUGCCUAUCUGCAGGCUUUAUAUUGUUCAUAGAAUAUGCCAUUAAAUCUAUAGUACAGUCUAUGUGCUAUCAGAUGGCACAGAUCUCUGAUAGCUUUAGAGAACACUUCUUCAUCUGAUACAAAAUGUAGGAGGAAUCUAUAGAUUUCAAUAUUUGCUGGCUCUAUAUAAAUUGAAGGGAAGAGAAGAAACAAAGUCAUUUUUUCAUUUGGCAAAGGACUAGCUUCACCUAGUAUCUCUAGAAACUCUUCUGGAGAUCUGAUGUUAACUCUACGGCAGAGGUGGCAACCCACUUGCCAAUAACCAUGUGUGGUGAUUUUGAUUUUAUCAUAUCUUUAUUUCUUUUCUUACUAAUAAUAAAAAUUAAUUCUUAUUAUGUUAAAAAUUGGAAAAAAGUAGGCAUUAUUCUUGUUGUCCAGCCGAACAAAUUAGAUUGUGUGAUAUUAAUGAAAUUGUGCAAUGAUUAUUGUAAUUUUUAGAAGGCGUGGCAAACAUUUGAACAUUUCAUUUGCCACACACGUGACAACUUUGAAAAAUAUGUUCCCCAGCUCUGCUCUAUGAUCUUUCAUCAUCAUGACACACCACUGAGUUAGUUUCUUCUCUAUUUCAUAAAUUAAUGAUCUUCUCUUUUUCUACAGUCGGUCUUAUUUGGACUGGGUUCUUAUACAUUUUCAUAUAUCUGAAAAGUCUGGGAUAUAUGUAACUAGUGCUUCUCAUUCUUCUUAUAAAAGGCUGAUAAAAACCAGUCAUUAGAUAAUUCUUCAAAUUCGGUUAUUCAUUGUUUAAAAAAUCACAUAAAUAUUUUUAGACAAUAAAUGUAUACAGUGUCAUAAUUAAAUUACUUCUAUUCAGCACUGUUUGUAGAAACAACUCUGGUCAAAAUUCGAUGAAUUUUGAUA
rnacentral:lncRNA from 1 species